AUAGUUAUAGAUCUCACUGGGGAUUAUUAUCUACAGAAUUCUCUCUCUCUCUACACAUACACACACACAUAUAUGUAUGUGUGUGUGUGUGUGUGUGUGUGUAAUUUAUGUAUUUAUAUAGUA
rnacentral:miRNA from 1 species